AUUGGCGGUGUGAAACCAUAGAGCACCGUACAGCUGCCAAGUGGUGGGGCCAUUCUGUCACUGUGUAACCUAAGAAGAACUGAACCCAGUGGCGUGUCCUCUGCUCAGAAGCCGUGGUGACUCCGCACUGUGGACCAGGUCUUCAGGACUGCCUCUGGAUCAGCGCUUGUAAAAUGACCUCUGAACUCUUGGAAUAUCCUGCCUGAAAAGAGUACCUCUGUACACGUGAGACCUUGGGCCGGGCCAGAGAGUCUAUGCUAACAAAGUGACACGGUUGCAUCCAGCCCUGGAUAUCACCAAAUGUACCUACAGAAAACACGUCAAUCAGUGAAUUUGCAAGGCGUGGGGUUGGGGGGCCCCAAGGGCACAUAAAACCUAUUGGAGACAAGCAGUGUCGCCUGUCCAGAUGGCCGCACCCACUAUUUCUCAUACGGCCUGCCCUGGGUUUGAAGCAGAGUCGCUGCUCAGUAUAUAUUGGUAAAGAAGAAACAGUGAAAGAAUGGCAAGAUACAGACAACAGGUUUGAUGUGAAGAUUGGCAGUUCAUUCUGGGAAAUGGCUUAUGGUUUGGAUCAAAUCCCUGCCCUGGGAAAACCUGAUCUAGGGGAUCAUGAGGGGCAGGCGGAGAGGGUGUGCAUGAGGACCAGAUUUCCUAGCUGUCCCAUGGGAUGUUAUGAAUGUCUCUAAGGGUGAUGACGAAGCACAGCUCCAAGGGAAGCGAGGGUAGCUGCAGUGAGUACACAGGAUGUAAGCCUGUCUCUGCAGUGGGAGGUAAUGGAAACUGCAGCCCAGAGAGCAAGCAGACCCCGGUCCAGGUGUGCUCAGGUGAAGUAGAGGUGGGAGAACCAGGCUGGGGAGGAAAGGUCUCAGAGAAGGGCUCCUGUCCUGACUCCAGCUACUUCUGCUUCAGAACAAUUUCCUGGGAGAGGAACCCAAGAGGUGAAGAGGAACCCAAGAGGCGAAGAGGAACCCAAGUGAGGUGGGGGCAAGUUUUCCACAUGGAAAAGCCUCCAUUCAGCAGGGAACUCAGAUCUGCCAGAGAAUAAAUACGAGUGAAACUUAAAAAACAUGAGGGUGGAAGCCGACAUUAAAGCGACGCCCACCAGCAACUCAUUGAGAAUAAAGCCCUCCUGAGUGUAGCAAGUUAAGAGUGUCUAUCAC
ensembl:lncRNA